rnacentral:rRNA from 1 species
UACGAAGGGGGCUAGCGUUGCUCGGAAUCACUGGGCGUAAAGGGUGCGUAGGCGGGUCUUUAAGUCAGGGGUGAAAUCCUGGAGCUCAACUCCAGAACUGCCUUUGAUACUGAGGACCUUGAGUUCGGGAGGGGUGAGUGGAACUGCGAGUGUAGAGGUGAAAUUCGUAGAUAUUCGCAAGAACACCAGUGGCGAAGGCGGCUCACUGGCCCGAUACUGACGCUGAGGCACGAAAGCGUGGGGAGCAAACAGG